UGGGCAUACAUGAGUAAGCAAAACAUGCUGUGGGGCCCAAGGUUGGACAAGGGGGCAACUUCAUCCUGGCAUUGCUCUUGCCCUAGAUUCCUGUGUUCCAGCGUGGAGGGACAGUCGUGCCUCGAUGGAUGCGAGUGCGGCGGUCUUCAGAAUGUAUGAAGGAUGACCCCAUCACUCUCUUUGUUGCACUUAGCCCUCAGGGUACAGCUCAAGGAGAGCUCUUUCUGGAUGAUGGGCACACGUUCAACUAUCAGACUCGCCAAGAGUUCCUGCUGCGUCGAUUCUCAUUCUCUGGCAACACCCUUGUCUCCAGCUCAGCAGACCCUGCAGGACACUUUGAGACACCAAUCUGGAUUGAGCGGGUGGUGAUAAUAGGGGCUGGAAAGCCAGCAGCUGUGGUACUCCAGACAAAAGGAUCUCCAGAAAGCCGCCUGUCCUUCCAGCAUGACCCUGAGACUUCUGUGUUGGUCCUGCGCAAGCCUGGCGUCAAUGUGGCAUCUGAUUGGAGUAUUCACCUGCGAUAACCCAAGGGAUGUUCUGGGUUAGGGGGAGGGAAGGGGAGCAGUAGUGCUGAGAGAUAUUCUUCUGCCUUGGAGUUCGGCCC
rnacentral:sRNA from 1 species